AUGGGGGUGGCAGAAAGGAAGAAUCGCCAUAUUCUGGAGGUUGCUCGAUCACCGAUGUUUACUAUGAAUGUGCCGAAAUUCUUGUGGGGUGAAGUUGUGAUGGCUGCAGCACACCUAAUCAAUCGCACAUCAUCGAGAGUACUAGGUAUGAAGUCACCUUCUGAGUUACUUCUGGGAAAGAAUGAUUUUGUGGUUCCUCCCAAGUUGUUCGGUUGUGUCUGCUUUGUCAGGGAUCACAGGCCAUCUGUGGGCAAAUUGGAUCCACUGGCCGUCAAGUGUAUCUUCACUGGGUACUCUUCUGGGCAGCGUGGCUAG
rnacentral:rRNA from 1 species